GACGAACGCUGGCGGCGUGCUUAACACAUGCAAGUCGAACGGAAAGGCCCUGCUUUUGUGGGGUGCUCGAGUGGCGAACGGGUGAGUAACACGUGAGUAACCUGCCCUUGACUUUGGGAUAACUUCAGGAAACUGGGGCUAAUACCGGAUAGGAGCUCCUGCUGCAUGGUGGGGGUUGGAAAGUUUCGGCGGUUGGGGAUGGACUCGCGGCUUAUCAGCUUGUUGGUGAGGUAGUGGCUUACCAAGGCUUUGACGGGUAGCCGGCCUGAGAGGGUGACCGGCGACAUUGGGACUGAGAUACGGCCCAGACGCCUACGGGAGGCAGCAGUGGGGAGUAUUGCACAAUGGGCGGAAGCCUGAUGCAGCAACGCCGCGUGCGGGAUGACGGCCUUCGGGUUGUAAACCGCUUUCGCCUGUGACGAAGCGUGAGUGACGGUAAUGGGUAAAGAAGCACCGGCUAACUACGUG
rnacentral:rRNA from 1 species